UACGUAGGUGGCAAGCGUUACUCGGAAUCACUAGGCGUAAAGCGCAGGUAGGCGGUUGGAUAAGUUUCUUGUGAAAGCUCCCGGCUUAACUGGGAGAAGGCCAAGGAAUACUGUCUGACUUGAGUGUGGUAGGGGUAACUGGAAUUCCCGGUGUAGCGGUGAAAUGCGUAGAUAUCGGGAAGGAAUACCUAUGGCGAAGGCAGGUUACUGGGCCAUCACUGACGCUGGAGCUGCGAAAGCUAGGGGAGCAAACAGG
rnacentral:rRNA from 1 species